AAUCGCUAAUGUGCCCCGGACUCUGGGAUAGCUAGCCGAAAGGUUAGGUAAUACCAGAUGAUAUACCUUUAUCGCAUGAUAGAGGUCUCAAAGGUCCGCCGGUCUGGGAGCAGGCGAUUUCGUAUCAGCUAGUUGGUGAGGUAACGGCUCACCAAGGCGACGACGCGUAGCCGGACUGAGAGGUUGGCCGGCCUCAUUGGGACUGAGACACUGCCCAG
rnacentral:rRNA from 1 species